UACGGAGGGUGCAAGCGUUGUCCGGAAUCACUGGGCGUAAAGGGCGCGUAGGCGGCUCAUGAAGGCUGUGGUGAAAGUCCGGGGCUCAACCUCGGGUCGGCCGCGGAUACUCUCGUGCUGGAGGGUGGUAGAGGCCAAUGGAAUUCCGGGUGUAGCGGUGGAAUGCGUAGAGAUCCGGAAGAACACCGGUGGCGAAGGCGGUUGGCUGGGCCACACCUGACACUGAGGCGCGACAGCGUGGGGAGCAAACAGG
rnacentral:rRNA from 1 species